rnacentral:rRNA from 1 species
GACGAACGCUGGCGGCGUGCUUAACACAUGCAAGUCGAACGGAAAGGCCCUGCUUUUGUGGGGUGCUCGAGUGGCGAACGGGUGAGUAACACGUGAGUAACCUGCCCUUGACUUUGGGAUAACUUCAGGAAACUGGGGCUACUACCGGAUAGGAGCUCCUGCUGCAUGGUGGGGGUUGGAAAGUUUCGGCGGUUGGGGAUGGACUCGCGGCUUAUCAGCUUGUUGGUGGGGGAGUGGCUUACCAAGGCUUUGACGGGUAGCCGGCCUGAGAGGGUGACCGGCCACAUUGGGACUGAGAUACGGCCCAGACUCCUACGGGAGGCAGCAGUGGGGAAUAUUGCCCAAUGGGAGGAAGCCUGAUGCAGCAACGCCGGGUGCGGGAUGACGGCCUUCGGGUUGUAAACCGCUUUCGCCUGUGACGAAGCGUGAGUGACGGUAAUGGGUAAAGAAGCACCGGCUAACUACGUG